UACGUAGGGUGCGAGCGUUGUCCGGAAUUAUUGGGCGUAAAGAGCUUGUAGGCGGUUUGUCGCGUCUGCUGUGAAAAUCCGGGGCUCAACCCCGGACUUGCAGUGGGUACGGGCAGACUAGAGUGUGGUAGGGGGAGACUGGAAUUCCUGGUGUAGCGGUGGAAUGCGCAGAUAUCAGGAGGAACACCGAUGGCGAAGGCAGGUCUCUGGGCCACUACUGACGCUGAGAAGCGAAAGCCAGGGGAGCAAACGGG
rnacentral:rRNA from 1 species